CGCCAGCUGACUUUAACGUGCUUUUGAAAAGCGGUAUCAUCGAACAUAAAGAUAAUACAUUAACACACAUUAAAUGUGGGAGAGGGGGAGAUACAUUUCCAUAUGAGGAAUUCCAGACGGCCAGUGCCAACCAUAGGAAUUCAGGUUACGUCAUUCCGCCAGCCAGCCAGUCCUAUAACUGUGGGAACGAAGCAUAGACUGACACAAAGCUCGACGUGUGACUGUUCAACUGUGAGUGAAAACUUGACUGACUUGACUUUAGAGAUCACCCUCCACUGGGAGAAGACAGAGUUGGGGCUGAGGCUGUUCAUAUCGAAGGCAGACCUGGCUCCUAGGAGGUCGUCAGUACACACGUCACAAUCACUGCCGCCGAUGGCAAAGUUCCAGUAGGGGAGGGCAAAGGUGGCAUCGCCCAACAUGUCCUGGAGAGGAUGGAGAGAUGCAGGUGGAACCUGUGCCAGGUGACAAAUCCCGGUCCUUCGUGAGAGAAGUCCACACCCCCAAAGCUAGCCUGCCCCGCCC